CACAGGUGCUGCAUGGCUGUCGUCAGCUCGUGUCGUGAGAUGUUGGGUUAAGUCCCGCAACGAGCGCAACCCUUGUCAUUAGUUGCUACGAAAGGGCACUCUAAUGAAACUGCCGGUGACAAACCGGAGGAAGGUGGGGAUGACGUCAAGUCCUCAUGGCCCUUAUGGGUAGGGCUUCACACGUCAUACAAUGGUCGGUACAGAGGGCUGCCAACCCGUAAGGGGGAGCCAAUCCUUUAAAACCGAUCGUAGUCCGGAUUGAGGUCUGCAACUCGACCUCAUGAAGUCGGAAUCGCUAGUAAUCGCGGAUCAGCAUGUCGCGGUGAAUACGUUCCCGGGUCUU
rnacentral:rRNA from 1 species